rnacentral:rRNA from 1 species
GAUGAACGCUGGCGGCGUGCCUAAUACAUGCAAGUCGAGCGAACAGAUGAGAAGCUUGCUUCUCUGAUGUUAGCGGCGGACGGGUGAGUAACACGUGGGUAACCUACCUAUAAGACUGGGAUAACUCCGGGAAACCGGGGCUAAUACCGGAUAAUAUUUUGAACCGCAUGGUUCAAUAGUGAAAGACGGUUUCGGCUGUCACUUAUAGAUGGACCCGCGCCGUAUUAGCUAGUUGGUAAGGUAACGGCUUACCAAGGCGACGAUACGUAGCCGACCUGAGAGGGUGAUCGGCCCCCCUGGAACGGAGACACGGUCCAGACUCCUACGGGAGGCAGCAGUAGGGAAUCUUCCGCAAUGGGCGAAAGCCUGACGGAGCAGCGCCGCGUGAGUGAUGAAGGUCUUCGGAUCGUAAAACUCUGUUGUUAGGGAAGAACAAAUUUGUUAGUAACUGAACAAAUCUUGACGGUACCUAACCAGAAAGCCACGGCUAACUACGUGCCAGCAGCCGCCGUAA